rnacentral:rRNA from 1 species
CAGCCCUAAACGAUGCGCGUUAGGUGUAUCGGUGACCACGAGUCACCGAGGUGCCGAAGGGAAACCGUGAAACGUGCCGCCUGGGAAGUACGGUCGCAAGGCUGAAACUUAAAGGAAUUGGCGGGGGAGGCACCACAACGGGUGGAGCCUGCGGUUUAAUUUGGACUCAACGCCGGGAAGCUCACCGGAUAAGACAGCGGAAUGAUUGCCGGGCUGAAGACCCUGCAUGACCAGCUGAGAGGAGGUGCAUGGCGUAGUCGUGU